rnacentral:rRNA from 2 species
AAAUUGAAGAGUUUGAUCAUGGCUCAGAUUGAACGCUGGCGGCAGGCCUAACACAUGCAAGUCGAACGGUAGCAUAGAGAGCUUGCUCUCGGGUGACGAGUGGCGGACGGGUGAGUAAUGUCUGGGAAACUGCCUGAUGGAGGGGGAUAACUACUGGAAACGGUGGCUAAUACCGCAUAA